CACAACCCCCACACACACUGCAGGGCUGCAUUUGCUGCUCCCCAGGGCAGCCUGGAGCCAGCAGCUUCAAAGGAGCACAUCAAAGCUCCGUGCACAGCACAGAGCAGCCCGGGAAGCAGGGUGGCAUCUCUCCUCUCCCUGGCGAAUGUGGAACCUCAGGGGGCUUCCCAAAGGACACGUAUGUCCCUAUGUCUUGCCUUGAACUUUUCCUGUCUUAUGAGACAGACUGCAGCUGCGCACCCAAAGGCUGUGACAAGGAAUUUCGACACAAGAUUUGUCUCCAGUAAAGAUGUUCAGAACAGGAGGGCUCCUCCAGGAAUUCACUCUACCAACCUCAAGAAAACCUCAAAGUAACACUCAGAGUCAGGGGAGGCAGAACAGAAAGGAUCUUCCUCAAGGUCCAAUCCAUCCCCACUAGCAUGGCCACAGUGAAGACAGGGGAAAUAACCUAGAACUCUGAACAUCAUUUCUUUUCUUGCUUUUCAGCUGUUCCACUUGCCUUUCACUUGUUAUGCAGUCAAUUUCCUGGACACCAAGUCACCUUUUAAACUGAUAAAAACAGAGCCCAC
rnacentral:lncRNA from 1 species